rnacentral:rRNA from 1 species
UACAGAGGUCUCAAGCGUUGUUCGGAUUCAUUGGGCGUAAAGGGUGCGUAGGCGGCGCGGUAAGUCGGGUGUGAAAUCUUGGAGCUUAACUCCGAAGCUGCAUUCGAUACUGCCGUGCUUGAGGACUGGAGAGGAGACUGGAAUUCCCGGUGUAGCGGUGAAAUGUGUAGAGAUCGGGAGGAACACCGGUGGCGAAGGCGGGUCUCUGGGGCAUCUCCUGACGCUGAGGCGCGAAAGCGUGGGGAGCAAACGGG